ACAGAGGAUGCAAGCGUUAUCCGAAAUGAUUGGGCGUAAAGCGUCUGUAGGUGGUUUAAAAAGUACAUUGUUAAAUUUUAAGGCUUAACCUUAGCAAAGCAAGGUAAACUUUUAAACUAGAGUUUGGUAGAGGCAGAGGGAAUUUCCGGUGGAGCGGUGAAAUGCGGAGAGAUCGGGAGGAACACCAAAGGCGAAAGCACUUUGCUGGGCCAUUACUGACACUAAGAGACGAAAGCAAGGGGAGCAAAUGG
rnacentral:rRNA from 1 species